ACAGUAAAGGAUGCGAAUGAUCGGUGUAGUCUCGAGUCACGCUGCUUGCUCGAUAGCGAAUCCGCAACUGAGGGGCUUUCUGCAGAAGCCCCGUUUACUUUACGCUGCUAGUCGUGGAACUGUGCGAACGAAGGACGUAACGGGAAAUGUAAGGUUUGUGUAUGGUGUUAGAUAUGCCUGUACUGAAUAUACAUAUACAUCCAUUUCGGCAUAUUAGUUAUACGAAUGCCAUCAGAAGAGCCAACUAUCUAGGUACCUGUUGAAGUUCAGACAAUAGGGAGACCAACGGUUCAGUUAAAAAGAAAUGCAGGAAAUGGACAAAAUUCAUGGAUUCAUGAAGAGUGGAAUACAGGUUGAUAAUAAAGUUUUUUUUAA